rnacentral:rRNA from 1 species
GUGAGGAAUAUUGGUCAAUGGACGAGAGUCUGAACCAGCCAAGUCGCGUGAAGGAAGACGGUUCUAUGAAUUGUAAACUUCUUUUGUGCAGGAAUAAAGUGGGUUACGUGUAACCUUUUGUAUGUACUGUACGAAUAAGGAUCGGCUAACUCCGUGCCAGCAGCCGCGGUAAUACGGAGGAUCCGAGCGUUAUCCGGAUUUAUUGGGUUUAAAGGGUGCGUAGGUGGAUUGAUAAGUCAGCGGUGAAAGUUUGCAGCUUAACGGUAAAAUUGCCGUUGAAACUGUCGGUCUUGAGUGCAAAUGAGGUAGGCGGAAUGUGUUGUGUAGCGGUGAAAUGCUUAGAUAUAACACAGAACUCCGAUUGCGAAGGCAGCUUACUGGGAUGCAACUGACACUGAUGCACGAAAGCGUGGGUAUCAAACAGGAUUAGAAACCCGUGUAGUCC